rnacentral:rRNA from 1 species
CGGUGGAUGCCUUGGCACUAGGAGCCGAAGAAGGACGGGACUAACACCGAUAUGCUUUGGGGAGCUGUACGUAAGCGUUGAUCCAGAGAUUUCCGAAUGGGGGAACCCACUAUCUUUAGUCGGAUAGUAUCCUUACGUGAAUACAUAGCGUGAGGAAGGCAGACCCAGGGAACUGAAACAUCUAAGUACCUGGAGGAAGAGAAAGAAAAAUCGAUUUCCUGAGUAGCGGCGAGCGAAACGGAAAGAGCCCAAACCAAGAAGCUUGCUUCUUGGGGUUGUAGGACACUCUAUACGGAGUUAC